CAAGGCUUAAAUGGGAAUUGACAGGUCUAGAAAUAGACUUUUCUUCGGACAAUUUUCAAGGUGCUGCAUGGUUGUCGUCAGCUCGUGCCGUGAGGUGUUAGGUUAAGUCCUGCAACGAGCGCAACCCCUGUCACUAGUUGCCAUCAUUCAGUUGGGGACUCUAGUGAGACUGCCUACGCAAGUAGAGAGGAAGGUGGGGAUGACGUCAAAUCAUCACGGCCCUUACGCCUUGGGCCACACACGUAAUACAAUGGCCGGUACAGAGGGCAGCUACCUAGCGAUAGGAUGCGAAUCUCGAAAGCCGGUCUCAGUUCGGAUUGGAGUCUGCAACUCGACUCUAUGAAGCUGGAAUCGCUAGUAAUCGCGCAUCAGCCAUGGCGCGGUGAAUACGUUCCC
rnacentral:rRNA from 1 species